UUAGUAGAGACGGAGUUUCACCGUGUUAGCCAGGAUGGUCUCGAUCUCCUGACCUUGUGAUCCGCCUGCCUCAGCCUCCCAAAGUGCUGGGAUUACAGGCGUGAGCCACCGUGCCCAGCCAUCAUAAGUCACCCAGAUUGAGUAUAUGAUUCAUUGAGAGCUCUUAAAUUUCCCAGAUGUUAUUUCUCAACAAUUAUCAUAUCAUUAUAUAAUGAGGAAGAUAAACUUCUCCAUGGCCAGGAUAUCAUGAUGUUAUGGUUAUGGGAAAGUUAAAUGUAUAAUCACUUUGGCAUGUGAUUUCUUCAUAUUUCUACAAGUUGUCUUUCAAUUCUACAUUAAUUAUAGUCAAAUAUAUUUUUUGGGGGAAGAUACAGCAGAUGCGAUUUUUUUUUUGUCUUUGAUUUCUGUCUUGAGAGCCCACAGCUUUGAUGCAUUCUUGAAACAACUUUAAUAAAGCAAUGUGUUUUAUUCCCUGUUUAAUAAAAUAAAGCCAGC
rnacentral:lncRNA from 1 species